AGCGAACGCUGGCGGCAGGCCUAACACAUGCCAGUCGAACGAACCUUUCGGGGUUAGUGGCGGACGGGUGAGUAACACGUGGGAACGUGCCUUUAGGUUCGGAAUAACUCAGGGAAACUUGUGCUAAUACCGAAUGUGCCCUUCGGGGGAAAGAUUUAUCGCCUUUAGAGCGGCCCGCGUCUGAUUAGCUAGUUGGUUGAGGUAAUGGCUCACCAAGGCGACGAUCAGUAGCUGGUCUGAGAGGAUGAUCAGCCACAUUGGGACUGAGACACGGCCCAAACGCCUACGGGAGGCAGCAGUGGGGAAUCGUGAGCAAUGGGAGAAAGCCUGACGCAGCCAUGCCGCGUGAAUGAUGAAGGUCUUAGGAUUGUAAAAUUCUUUCACCGGGGACGAUAAUGACGGUACCCGGAGAAGAAGCCCCGGAUAACUUCGUG
rnacentral:rRNA from 1 species